AUUCCAGCUCCAAUAGCGUAUAUUAAAGUUGUUGUGGUUAAAAAGCUCGUAGUUGGAUCUCGGCGGUCUGAGGGCGGUUCGCUUCAGAGCGCUACUGCCCUAUAGACCGUAGUUUUGCCAGAGGUCUCAGGGUGCUCUUAACCGAGUGUCUUGCGAUGCUGGCAGGUUUACUUUGAAAAAAUUAGAGUGCUCAAAGCAGGCUUUUACGCCUGAAUAUUCGUGCAUGGAAUAAUAGAAUAGGAAGUCGUUUCUAUUUUAUUGGUUUUCGGAAAUCGACUUAAUGAUUAAUAGGGACAGUCGGGGGCAUUUGUAUUCAAACGACAGAGGUGAAAUUCUUGGACCGUUUGAAGACAAACUACUGCGAAAGCAUUUGCCAAGAAUGUUUUCAUCA
rnacentral:rRNA from 1 species